CAUUUUGUGAAGCGCAGAGAAGAAUUGUUUCAAAACAUUCCGAUUCGUCACGUUAGCAACAAUGUAUCAUAUAGUGCAAAACGCACGAGGAGGAUUUUCAAUUAUGGAACAAGGUACAGUUAAAUGGUUUAACGCAGAAAAAGGUUUUGGCUUCAUCGAACGCGAAAGCGGAGACGAUGUAUUCGUACAUUUCUCAGCUAUCCAAUCUGAAGGUUUCAAAUCUUUAGAAGAAGGCCAAGCAGUAACUUUCAGCGUAGAAGAAGGUAACCGCGGACCUCAAGCAACUAACGUUGUUAAAGCUUAAUUCAAAUUAAACUUAUAAGAACCUGGUCUUCGGAUCAGGUUCUUUUU
rfam:Trichococcus sp. R210 isolate Trichococcus_R210 genome assembly, contig: TR210DRAFT_scaffold-12